rnacentral:rRNA from 1 species
AUUGAACGCUGGCGGCAUGCUUUACACAUGCAAGUCGAACGGUAACAGGUUAAGCUGACGAGUGGCGAACGGGUGAGUAAUGCAUCGGAACGUGCCCGGUCGUGGGGGAUAACGCAGCGAAAGCUGUGCUAAUACCGCAUACGAUCUAUGGAUGAAAGCGGGGGACCGCAAGGCAUCGCGCGAUUGGAGCGGCCGAUAUCAGAUUAGCUAGUUGGUGGGGUAAAGGCCCACCAAGGCGACGAUCUGUAGCUGGUCUGAGAGGACGACCAGCCACACUGGAACUGAGACACGGUCCAGACUCCUACGGGAGGCAGCGGUGGGGAAUUUUGGACAAUGGGCGCAAGCCUGAUCCAGCAAUGCCGCGUGCAGGAUGAAGGCCUUCGGGUUGUAAACUGCUUUUGUACGGAACGAAACGGUGAGCUUUAAUACAGUUUGCUAAUGACGGUACCGUAAGAAUAAGCACCGGCUAACUACGUGCCAGCCGCCGCCGUAA